GCACUGCUGACAAGUCCAAAACAGGACGAAACAGCUGUCCAGCAC
rnacentral:hammerhead_ribozyme from 1 species